UUAUUCUUUAUAAGCCCUUUAUGUGGUGUCGCUCAGACGCCCGACUACGGCAUGUUUUGUUAUUUAUUUAUUCUUUAUAAGCCCUUUAUGUGGUGUCGCAUAGACGCCCGACUGUGGCAUGCUUGUUAUUUCUAUCAUUUAUAAGCCCUUUAUGUGGUGUCGCAUAGAUGCCCGACUGUGGCAUGCUUUUUAUUUCUUUUAUUUAUAAGCCCGUUAUGUGGUGUCGCUCAGAUGCCCGACUGAGGCAUGAUUUAUUUUAUUUUUCCUUUCGAGGCGUCGCUUCAAACACUUGAUCGGUGCAUUCUAUUUCUACUCCCGUAAUGCAUUUUGCAUGAACAACCUGCAUGCGUGCAUCAUGAGUUUUUUGUUUAUUUCGUGACUGACGUUAUGAUCGUAGAAUCUUUCGGACCAUGAUUAUCCACUAUUAUAUCAUACCCGUGUUCAUAAUGUUUGCGAGUACAUUCAAAAGUACUCACUGGCUUGUCCCUGGCUAUUGUCUUGGCCAGAUUUCUCGCAUGGAGAGAGCAUUGCGAUGACAACCCCGGAACCUACGCAAUGUUGAUAGCAGCCUCGCGAAGAUAGGAGUUAUCCUGGUCAGCUGUUCUUGUGGGAAAUGGAGUCCCAUAGACGCAGAUGUACCACAAACCGCUUCCGCCAUCAACCACUAGAAACCAAGUGUUGUACUCAUAGGCCACAAUGGUCUUGUACUACAUAUUUUGUGCUUUGCUUGGAAUUUCUGUAUCAAGUUGGUGCCUCAUCAGCUAACAGUAAUCCUGGGGCUGGUGAGCACAAGGGCCAUUUUCUGGGAAAUUUAUAUCCCGAAAUACCGGUCCUGACAGACUUGGUAUCAGAGCCAGGCUGACCAUUGGCUAAUCCUAUCUUAGCCAGGUCAAUAAACCUAGGUUAACUAACCCACCAGACCUUAACCAAACCCCGGCCAAGCUUCUCACGUAAGAUAGCCCCACAGUGACCAAACGUCUUUCGGCAGACGGUGCCCAACCUAUCAGCCUAGCCUGUCGAUCACGCGCCAGUGACCGGCCCCUAAAUAGUUCUUUUUGCAAGCGUGCGAAGGAAGACUUCAUCCCCUUUUCCUAUAAAAAGGGCAGGCUAGCCUCAACCCAGCACAGCACAACCUCUUUCCCAAACCAAGCCACGAUGCCUGGCCCCAUUGUUCACAAUGAGACCAAAGCCACUAACCUUGGAGGUUUUGUGACCGUGCUCGCAAACUUCACCCGCCGUGCCUACGCAUUAGAAGAGCCCCCAGAAUAUGUUGUGUACCAAGGACUCAUGAACGGUGAGAGCCGUCAAUUCUGGGCCACUGUACACAUCUAUGGUAGGGGUCUAUCGCCAGAACGCCCCUACAGGUUCACUGGAAGGACAACUUCCUUUGAGCCACAAGCCCUCCAGCUAGCUGCUCGAGAAGCUAUAGUUCAACUCCGGCACUUGUCGCCCAGAGUUAACUGUCGCUCGUUCUACUACUACCCCAGUCGUGACAGGUAUGGAAGGCCGCCCCAGGUUGCCAACGGAGAUCACGAGACAGAUCCUGCACUAUUGCAUCUGGUGCGCUAUGUAAGCGCACUAGAGCAACUGUUCGAUCAAAUCACCCUUGAUCUGAUCGCAGCUCGUGGAGAACUGGUUCGCCAAGCCCCAGCGAGAAGAGAAGAUGAGCCCGAAGCCGACAACCCAGUCGUGCUGUUCGGACACCCGAUCGAGUCCUUGUGGUCUGCCCCAGCCAUCGACCAAAAUGCUUUGGUGUCCCCAGAAGCGCUUCGUCGCCUUUUGGGAACACGUUCCAACGGGAUUGUGGCCAACAACCCCCGCGAUGGUCAUCACCACUAGCCCGACCCUGCAGCCCCUCAACCUCAUCCAGCAAAUCCCGACGGUGAAACCCGUGGAGAAACCUCGGCGUCCACAAGGCCAGCCCACUUAGACAUUAACGAAGUAGACUAAGUCGCUCGAGUAGUACCGAGCCUUAGUAUUUCUACGCCUUGUAGUUGUGUGAUCCUGUAUCACCAUAAUUAAUACUGUCUGCUUGUGCGCCCCUAUUUUUUUGGAGUAGUAGCCAUGCAUAGGUACGUCAGCGUACAGAUGCAUCUUUUAAAUUCCGGGCGCAGCUACCAAAACCACACCCGACGACACCCACAACAAUGCGUCACAUUUAUGAGAUAUGUGUAUCUGUGGCAUUGACCCCCACCCCAAACUAGUUACCCUUCACCACGGUAAAUAACCCAGCCCCAAUGCUAUAUAAAAGGCCACCUCGUGACCUUGCCAAGUACCCCUCACCUUGUGCACAACACGCACAACCAUUUCUUCGCCAUGCCGAACCCCAGUAUUUAUCUGAGAACUCCAGACGCAACCCCGGGUAGUUUUGUUAAAUUAUUGUGGGACGUUACCUGCAGUACCAUGAGUGCCAUCCAUCCACCCCAGUACGAGUUGCUCAAAUCGAGGAUCACCCCAUCCACCUUGAAAUAUUUGGCAGUGGUGCACAUCCCUCCCGCAAACCGACACAAAGACCCGGCGGAAGUCUCCGUGGGGAAAUCCAUGCCGACUCCGCAUAUGGCCAUUGAAGCUGCUGCGUACGAAGCGCUUACUUGUCUUUGAUUCGCGGUACCCUAUGCCAGCGAACGAGGAUAUUAUUAUUUUCCGAGUCAUGCAGCACCCGGAGAAGUAGCAUCUUUUCCCGGUGGGCGAAUUGAGAGAGAUCCAGUACUGGCCAACCUUGCCCAGUAUGUUAUCGCUCAGGAGCAUUUGACUCAGCGGGUAAUGGGUUAUCUCCAGAGCCUCGCUGAUUUAGAUCCUCGGAUCGCUAUUGGCAGACCACUGAGGCCUGACCAGGAGAGACGCGUUCAUCGACUGGUCAACCCGCUUCCCCCGAUAGAAGAGGAGUGUGCCCCAGUACCAGAGACGUUUUCUCAGGAUCCUGUCCAUUUACCAUUUUUAUUGUAGACGUUACCGCUGUGUUUAUUAUCCCGGUAUUUAUUUAUGUGUUGUAACUUAUGCGUGAUAUCCAAAAUUUGUGUGACGGAUCAAAUAUUUGGUUUCAAUUUUGUGAGAAGUUUUACUGCUGUUAAUUUUGAGUUAACUAAUUUUCACUCACGAUAAAAUUCAAGUGAGAUUUCUAUCCCUGAGUUGUUGCAGCAUAUAUAUCUUCCCGACAUAGAUUUUUAUCCGCGCAGCACCAAAACAGCAGACUCACAACCACAACCACUCGACCUCGUGCGCUAAUUACAAAUCCUCGUACACAUUUUUGCACCUAACUGAUCACACCCGAGGUCACCACAGUCUCAGUAAGAGAGAUUUGUGAGUAAUCAUUCGGGCGCGAGUUGCCCCAGCACACCGACAGCAGUUAGCACUCGAGACCGCACCUAAUCCUCGUGAUCGCCGCCACCGCGAAGAGCUAACACUCGAGCGGCAGCAUCACGACGAUCAUCCAGGAUCAUCGCGCACAGGAGCACGGAGAACCCCAGCAACCCCAGCAACGUCACCAAACCUCCACAAACCAGGACCACGUACCAGUCCGGCAUCACCUCCGCCAUUAGAGCCUCGUCUCGAGCUCCUGCAAACAGCAAGGGAGGAGAAGUGGAAGCGAAGCUAGGUGUGAGGAAGAAGAAAGGAGCACCGCGAUCGUUUUAUAGCUCGAGAUCAGUGUACGGUGGGCGAGGUCCACCAGCGCCGCUCGUCGCUCGAUCGCCGGUGUUCGGAGGCGAAUCCGCGAGCAGUGCCGACAGUGCACUGGCCCGCGAGGUGAGUGCACGCUGCACCGGCAGCUAGCACGCCGCACACUACCGCAGUACGGCCUAGGUGCCCUACGUGCUAGGCGUCGCCGGUGAAGAAAGCGCGCGAAAGCACGCGAGAGAGAGAAAGAAGAGAGGGCCAGAGGUAGAAGAAGAGGCCGACAGUGGACCCCGGGUCCACCUGUCAGCCAGAGAGAGCACUGUGCUCUCGGGUACGACCAACAUAUUUUAGUAAUUUAGAAUUUAUUCUAAAUUACUGUAUCCAACGUAGAAAUAUCUCGUUUUCCCCGACCAUGGAUUUUUCCACGCAACGCCAGUAUACCCCACUGUAGUUUUACACCACUUAUUGCCCUCUCACUGUAGCCGCAUUUUAAUGCAUAGUAGAAUGAUUUCUUUUGGUAAGAGCGAUGUUUGUUCAAAACAGCUUUUAACAAAUCUCGAGGACGAGAUUUUUCUUAAGGGGGGUAGUGUUGUGACACCCCAAAAUUUUGACCUUGUUUUAUUAAUUAAAAUUUUGCCAGGAAAUUAAACUUUUCCAUUUGACUGGAUUUACCUUUUGAUAUUGUGGGUUUUUACCUGAAGUGGAAACUUUCCAAAAGUAUUAUUGGACUUGUAUACUCUCUCUAUAAAACAAUUCUUUAUCACUGGAUUUAAUUGCAAAAUUUGCUUUUCCUCAGCUUUAUUCUUUUAAAAUGAUUUUUCAUGAAUUUGGAGUCUCUGUUGCACUGCAACCAUUUGAUUAAUGCAUUUAAAAAUUUCACCAAAAUUUGGGGAUGUCAUGUGAUGUCUCCACAUCACUUUUAUGCAAAAAUAUCUUUUGGUUAUUCGAGAUUUUGAGCUCUACAUCAACUUUUCAGAUCUGGUCCAGUAGGUAUUUUUGCACUACAACCUAUUUAAAUAUUCCUUUAAAAAUUCUUCCAAGUGCUUGGAGAUGUCAGUAGAUGCAUAUAAUUCAACUUUAUGCUAAAACCCAGUGAUGUUCUUUGAAAAAUUUGAGUGAAUCAACCUCUUUUUCAUUCUGGUCCAGUUUAGUGAUUUGUACUGCAACCCUAUUUUAUUUUGCUCUAGUAACCCUGAGCUUUUCCCUACUCAUAAACCACCCUGCAGAACCCUUAAGUCCAGGAGAGUGGACCCAUUGGAGGAUUUUAAGUGCAUGCAAUGAGACCUUUCUCCUUCUGUCCAAAACUGAAGUUUUGCAAAACUUGCACUAGCAAGUUUCUGGUUUUGCCCAAAUGGUCUUGCCAUCAUCACCUGCAUCUAAAGAGACCCUGAUCUGGAGAUUUUGGUUACUCCAGGAGUUGCCUAGAUGCACUUAGCAUUCUGUCGAACACUUGGUGUGCACAGUCAGUUUUGACAUGAGUUUUAGUUUGCACUGUGUACUUAAUCCACUGACCCAGCAACCUUGUCCACUAAGAUCCUAGCUACUCCUAACCUAGGCCUGUUAACUACCAGCAUCAUCCAAGCCCUCUAGCACGCACUGGCUUUUCAUCGAGCACGUAGCGUGCGUGCGCUGGACGCGGCCCGAGCGCGCGUUUUGCACGUGCGUGCGCACGGGUCGCCGCGUCCCGCCCCUGGCCCUCGCUCGCCUGCAGAGCCACGCCCUGCCCUCGCCCACUCACCAGAACCCUCCAAGCCACCCUGGCGCCCUACAGCGCCGCCGUCAGGGCUCCUUUGGCGGCACGCCUGCGUCGGCAGCAGGCUCUGACAUGGACGGCGCCGCCCAAGCCGCCCGCGCGCGCCAGCUGCCCCCUGGAACAGCCCGAGCUCAUCCACAUGCUCGUCGGCACGCGCUCGUCGCCGCCACAUCGCCCUGCAACUACAGAACGACGGUCGCCGGCGUUCUUAUCCACGGCCGCCGCGGGACCGACCUCGAGCGCCUAUAUAAGGGGACCACGAACUCAACCUAGCACUCAGGCAACCUCGUUCUAUCCCCCUAGUGCCCCCAACACCCAGCAAUCGACGUCGGGAAGCUUUCUUCCCCGUCUCCGGCCAGUUCGGCCGCCGCCACGCUCCGGUUCAAUCCGUCGUAGUCAUAGCCCCCCUCGGCCAUCUAGUACCACCAUACCACUCCCCUCGACCGCACGGAGCCGCCCAGCCUCUCAAACUCGACCAAGGACCACCGUAGCUCGAAACCCCCAAACCACCUGAAGCCUCCUCCGCCGCGGAGCUCGCCGCCGGCGACUCCCUUCACCCCCACGGCCCCCUCGACCACCGGGAGGACCGCCCUGGAGCCACGGAUCCAUCCCUCCCCUCCGGAGCCCGCGAGGAACCGCCAAUCGCCGGCGGCGAUCGCCGGAGUCCCGCCUCCGUUCGGGCAGAAGAAGAGGAGGGAGUAGCGACUGGUCAAACCUGACCAGUGGGCCCGCUGGACCCACUAUCAGUGACCCAGCCCCGGCACCACGUGUCUAAGUGGUCGCGUAAACCCCUGAGAAAUGGAGAGAGAAGAAAACUUUCAAAAAGUUUUGGAAUGCACACUUCCUCUCCACAACCUGAAGGCAAGCAUUCUGAACUCUGGCAUAAUAUUUUUGUGUGGUGUUUUGAUGCGGUUACAACACCACUUGACUUGGAGCAUACGUUGUUUUUGUGUGACGACAAAAAAAAUCAUUCGCAUGAGUGCACAAUGGAGACUCUUUGCUGUUAGUAAUGGAUAUACUGAUGAUAGUAAUCAUCCUCGUGAGCUUUUCAUGCAUACCGGAAGGAAGCCGGGAAAGACGCUGUCUUGGGUAGACACGAGCUUGUCCCUAGUUCCUCGUCGAGACGAGUGUGUCCGGUAUGGCAUGGUGAGGUUUGAUGAGUGGUGACUUUAUCUGUUGAUGGAAAUAUAUUUGUCAUAUGGAGAAUACUUAGACCUCCUAAGUCGGCCGUAGGUCGAGUCUUGUUCAGUAACCCCCAUACUUGUCAAGUACUACCACUUGUCCCUGCCGCAGGUAGGGUACGGUUCAGUAAGUUGUCAACCCCGUCCUAGCACACACCGUACAGAGAGGCCAUGGUGGAAGAUACCGGAGGCCUCCGGUAGGCAUGCCACCUGGUCCGGGGGCAUGGGUGUUUCCGGUUGGGACCGAGAGGGGGGCACCCCUUAGAGCACGCGAUAUAAAUUUGAUCCCAUGCUACGUCGAGGUUGUAGCCUCCCCACUUAGAGUUUUGCUUGACAGGUGUUGUGGGUGAUUCCAGACACCAGUAAGUUAAGCUGGUGUGUGCAGGUCAGGCGUGUUUUCAAUUAAAAGGCUGUAGGCGGAAUUAGUCCCGAUGGACUAUAUAAAUCCGUUACUCGUGGGUAUAGAGUACACCCUCUGCAGAGGUUAAAUCUAUUCGGAUAGCCAUGUCCAUGGGAUAGGACUACAGUCUGAGAUGGGUUUUAGUGACGGUCUUCGGAUGGAGAAACGGCUAAACUAGAUUUUUGAUUAUGACCUGUGACAUAUGAGGAUUAUGAUUAUUAUUAUUUGGGACUAACCAUUUACAUUAUUUGAAUUAUUGAGUAUCCCUGGGACGGUUCUACCUCCUGGAUACUCACUGCGAUUAUUAUUUAUAAGCCCUUUAUGUGGUGUCGCUCAGACGCCCGACUGCGGCAUGUUUUGUUAUUUAUUUAUUCUUUAUUAGCCCUUUAUGUGGUGUCGCUCAGACGCCCGACUGCGGCAUGUUUUGUUAUUUAUUUAUUCUUUAUAAGCCCUUUAUGUGGUGUCGCAUAGACGCCCGACUGUGGCAUGCUUGUUAUUUCGAUCAUUUAUAAGCCCUUUAUGUGGUGUCGCAUAGAUGCCCGACUGUGGCAUGCUUGUUAUUUCUUUUAUUUAUAAGCCCCUUGUGUGGUGUCGCUCAGAUGCCCGACUGAGGCAUGAUUUAUUUUAUUUUUCCUUUGGAGGCGUCGCUUCAGACACUCGAUCGGUGCAUUCUAUUUCUACUCCCGUAAUGCAUUUUGCAUGAACAACCUGCAUGCGUGCAUCAUGAAUUUUUUGUUUAUUUCGUGACUGACGUUAUGAUCGUAGAAUCUUUCGGAGCAUGAUUAUCCACUAUUAUAUUAUACCCGUGUUCAUAAUUUUUGCGACUACAUUCAAACGUACUCACUGGCUUGUCCCUGGCUAUUGUCUUGGCCAGAUUUCUCGCAUGGAGAGAGCAUUGCGAUGACAACCCCGGAACCUACGCAAUGUUGAUAGCAGCCUCGCGAAGAUAGGAGUUAUCCUGGUCAGCUGUUCUUGUGGGAAAUGGAGUCCCAUAGACGCAUAUCUAAAUGGCCCUUUCCGAUGCGUGCCACUUAUGGUCCAUCUAUACUACUACUAUUGCUGAAUGCACAUUCAGCCCGAUUGGCAUAUUUUUAGGUCUGGCACAGCAAUCCAAAUGAAAUGUCUCCGAGUCUUAUCAAUUAAUACAGACUUGUGCUCAAAUAAAAUUACAAACCAAAAAACAAAAAAAACAAUUAUUACAUGAUCUCUAAAACAAAUGGUUUGAUUGAUUACAUGAACAGACAACACAAAGGUUAUUCAACUAUGGAAAGAACAUUU
rnacentral:lncRNA from 1 species